GAAGCUGGCAGGGAAGAAGCGACUCAGCGCUUUUCUCUUCCGCAAAUCCUUUCCCCGGGACCACAAAUCCCAGAAGUCACUGCGGCCGCCCCCACCCCAUUAUUACCCUCCAAGGCUGGUAGUCCGGGCCGCCCGGGCAAGGAGCGGCCUCUAGCGGCAGACGAGAGCGUCGGCGCGUGGGCGCCCACAACUCGGCAGCGCAGAAAGCUACGGCUGCGCCGGCUGAGUGCGCGCGGAGAGGACAGCCCUGGCGGUACCACGAGGUCCAUCCAGUCAGCAGGUCUUGGAGUUAAGUCAACAGGAGAAGAGUCAAGUGACGUUACAGAUGAGAUAUACGUCUGAUUUCUUUCUUCCUUCGCCCUCCAUCUCAGAGAAGUGUGCUGUCUAGCCGUUAGAAGACCAAAAGAGAAAUUUCCAUAAGGGAAAAAAA